CACAUACAAGUUAAACAUGGCCAAACUGCUCCAGAACCUUUGUCAAUGAACAGUCAAAACAAAACUAGCCAACCAAUGCUUUUGUAUAACUUGUCCCACUGUGAAUAUCGCGUAGAUAGACUUGUGCCCUGAUUGGCUUGAGGUUUCUCUUUCUUCUUUCUCAAUUGACUGAUCUUCCAAAAGCUUCUCUUUAUAUUUUUCUUCCUGAAU
rnacentral:lncRNA from 1 species